UGAGGCCAAAGGAAUUGUCCGUAGAGCUCAGAGACAGUAUUGUGUCGAGGCACAGAUCUGGGGAAGGGUACCAAAACAUUUCUGCAUUGAAGGUCUAAGAACACACUGGCCUCCAUCAUUCUGCAGCAUUGAAGGUCCCCAGAACACACUGGCCUCCAUCAUUCUGCAGCAUUGAAGGUCCCCAGAACACACUGGCCUCCAUCAUUCUGCAGCAUUGAAGGUCCCCAAGAACACAGUGGCCUCCAUCAUUCUGCAGCAUUGAAGGUCCCCAGAACACAGUGGCCUCCAUCAUUCUGCAGCAUUGAAGGCAUCCCUCAGAACACAGUGGCCUCCAUCAUUCUGCAGCAUUGAAGGUCCCCAAGAACACAGUGGCCUCCAUCAUUCUGCAGCAUUGAAGGUCUAAGAACACAGUGGCCUCCAUCAUUCUGCAGCAUUGAAGGUCCCCAAGAACACAGUGGCCUCCAUCAUUCUGCAGCAUUGAAGGUCUAAGAACACAGUGGCCUCCAUCAUUCUGCAGCAUUGAAGGUCUAAGAACACAGUGGCCUCCAUCAUUCUGCAGCAUUGAAGGUCCCCAGAACACAGUGGCCUCCAUCAUUCUGCAGCAUUGAAGGUCCCCAGAACACAGUGGCCUCCAUCAUUCUGCAGCAUUGAAGGUCCCCAGAACACAGUGGCCUCCAUCAUUCUGCAGCAUUGAAGGUCCCCAGAACACAGUGGCCUCCAUCAUUCUGCAGCAUUGAAGGUCCCCAGAACACAGUGGCCUCCAUCAUUCUGCAGCAUUGAAGGUCCCCAGAACACACUGGCCUCCAUCAUUCUGCAGCAUUGAAGGUCCCCAGAACACACUGGCCUCCAUCAUUCUGCAGCAUUGAAGGUCCCCAGAACACAGUGGCCUCCAUCAUUCUGCAGCAUUGAAGGUCCCCAAGAACACAGUGGCCUCCAUCAUUCUGCAGCAUUGAAGGUCCCCAGAACACACUGGCCUCCAUCAUUCUGCAGCAUUGAAGGUCCCCAGAACACACUGGCCUCCAUCAUUCUGCAGCAUUGAAGGUCCCCAGAACACACUGGCCUCCAUCAUUCUGCAGCAUUGAAGGUCCCCAGAACACACUGGCCUCCAUCAUUCUUAAAUGGAGAAGUUUGGAACCACCAAGGUUCUUCCUAGAGCUGGCCGCCCGGCCAAACGGAGCAAUCAGGGGAGAAAGGCCUUCGUAAGGAAGGUGACUAAGAACCCGAUGGUCAAUCACAGAGCUAGAGAGUUCCUCUGUGGAGAUGGGAGAACCUUCCAGAAGGACAACCAUCUCUGCAGCACUCCACCAAUCAGGCCUUUAUGGUAGAGUGGCCAGACGGAAGCCACUCUUCAGUAAAAGGCAAAUGACAGCCCUCUUGGAGUUUGCCAAAAGGCACGCAAAGAGUCUCAGACCAUGAGAAACAAGAUUCCCUGGUUUGAUGAAACCAAAAUGUAACUCUUUGGCCUGAAAGCCAAGCGUCAUGUCUGGAAGAAACCUGGCACCAUCCCUACGAUGCAGCAUGGUGGUGGCAGCAUCAUGAUGUGUGGAUGUUCUACAGUGGCAGGGACUGGGAGAAUAGUUGGAUUGAGGGAAAGAUGAAUGGAGCAAAGUACGAAGAGAUCCUUGAUGAAAACCUUCACCCCAGUCUGAGGUCCUGAGCGCUCUGGAGAAGGUUCACCGUCCAACAGGAUAAUGACCCUAAGCACACA